UCUCGGCUGCCGCUGCUGCCGUUGGCUCUUAUUCUCCUCCUCCUCCUCCUCUCUCCUCCUCUCUGCUUCUCUCUGCUCCUCUCUCCUCCUCUCUCCUCCUCCUCCUCCUCCACCUCCUCCUCCUUCUCCCCCUCUUUCUCCCCCUCUUUCUCUCUUCUUUCUCCCCCGUCCCCCCGCCCCUCCCCCCAGGCCUGAUGAGCAGGUCUCGAGCCUCCAUCCAUCGGGGGAGCAUCCCCGCGAUGUCCUAUGCCCCCUUCAGAGAUGUACGGGGACCCUCUAUGCACCGAACCCAAUACGUUCAUUCCCCGUAUGAUCGUCCUGGUUGGAACCCUCGGUUCUGCAUCAUCUCGGGGAACCAGCUGCUCAUGCUGGAUGAGGACGAGAUACACCCCCUACUGAUCCGGGACCGGAGGAGCGAGUCCAGUCGCAACAAACUGCUGAGACGCACAGUCUCCGUGCCGGUGGAGGGGCGGCCCCACGGCGAGCAUGAAUACCACUUGGGUCGCUCGAGGAGGAAGAGUGUCCCAGGGGGAAAGCAGUACAGCAUGGAGGGUGCCCCUGCUGCGCCCUUCCGGCCCUCGCAAGGCUUCCUGAGCCGACGGCUAAAAAGCUCCAUCAAACGAACGAAGUCACAACCCAAACUUGACCGGACUAGCAGCUUUCGCCAGAUCCUGCCUCGCUUCCGAAGUGCUGACCAUGACCGGGCCCGGCUGAUGCAAAGCUUUAAGGAGUCGCACUCUCAUGAGUCCUUGCUGAGUCCUAGCAGUGCAGCUGAGGCAUUGGAGCUCAACUUGGAUGAAGAUUCCAUUAUCAAGCCAGUGCACAGCUCCAUCCUGGGCCAGGAGUUUUGUUUUGAGGUAACAACUUCAUCAGGAACAAAAUGCUUUGCCUGUCGGUCUGCGGCCGAAAGAGACAAAUGGAUUGAGAAUCUGCAGCGGGCAGUAAAGCCCAACAAGGACAACAGUCGCCGGGUAGACAAUGUGCUAAAGCUGUGGAUCAUAGAGGCCCGGGAGCUGCCCCCCAAGAAGCGGUACUACUGUGAGCUCUGCCUGGAUGACAUGCUGUAUGCACGCACCACCUCCAAGCCCCGCUCUGCCUCUGGGGACACCGUCUUCUGGGGCGAGCACUUCGAGUUUAACAACCUGCCGGCUGUCCGUGCCCUGCGGCUGCAUCUGUACCGUGACUCAGACAAAAAGCGCAAGAAGGACAAGGCAGGCUAUGUCGGCCUGGUGACUGUGCCGGUGGCCACCCUGGCUGGGCGCCACUUCACAGAGCAGUGGUACCCUGUAACCCUGCCAACAGGCAGUGGGGGAUCUGGGGGCAUGGGCUCGGGAGGGGGAGGGGGCUCGGGGGGUGGCUCAGGGGGCAAGGGCAAAGGAGGUUGCCCGGCUGUGCGGCUGAAAGCACGUUACCAGACAAUGAGCAUCUUGCCCAUGGAGCUAUAUAAAGAGUUUGCAGAGUAUGUCACCAACCAUUAUCGGAUGCUGUGUGCAGUCUUGGAGCCCGCCCUGAAUGUCAAAGGCAAGGAGGAGGUUGCCAGUGCACUAGUUCACAUCCUGCAGAGUACAGGCAAGGCCAAGGACUUCCUUUCAGACAUGGCCAUGUCUGAGGUAGACCGGUUCAUGGAACGGGAGCACCUCAUAUUCCGCGAGAACACGCUCGCCACUAAAGCCAUAGAAGAGUAUAUGAGACUGAUUGGUCAGAAAUACCUCAAGGAUGCCAUUGGAGAGUUCAUCCGUGCUCUGUAUGAGUCUGAGGAAAACUGCGAGGUAGACCCUAUCAAGUGCACAGCAUCCAGUUUGGCAGAGCACCAGGCCAACCUGCGAAUGUGCUGUGAGUUGGCCCUGUGCAAAGUGGUCAACUCCCACUGGUGAGACUGGGAACGCUGGGCUGGGGGGCCAGGGUCGGGGGAAUUAUGUGUUCAUCUGUUCAUCUAUCUGUCCAUCCUCAAAGAGGACUGAGCACCAUUUAUGGGCAAAGCAUUGUUCUAGGCACUAUAGAGCAAACAGGUGAAAGAGGCCUGGUCCCUGCCCUCAGAGGGCCUCCACCAGAAUGAGUGGGGACAAAUUAGAAGAA
rnacentral:sRNA from 1 species